rnacentral:tRNA from 1 species
GGGCCCGUAGCUCAGCCAGGUAGAGCGGCGGGCUCUUAACCCGUAGGCCAGGGCUCUGGGCGGAAGUCCCGGGUUCAAAUCCCGGCGGGCCCGCCA